rnacentral:tRNA from 1 species
GCCCUGAUAGCUCAGUCUGGCCAGAGCAAUCGCUUUGUACGCGAAAUGUCGCCGGUUCGAAUCCGGCUUGGGGCUC